rnacentral:rRNA from 1 species
AUUGAACGCUGGCGGCAGGCCUAACACAUGCAAGUCGAGCGAGCGGCGGACGGGUGAGUAAUGGCGGGGAAACUGCCUGAUGGAGGGGGAUAAGUACUGGAAACGGCAGCUAAUACCGCAUACCAUCGGAUGUGCGGAGAGGGGGUUAGCUAGUCGGUGGGGUAACGGCUCACCUAGGAGACGAGCCCUAGCUGGUCGGAGAGGAUGAACAGCCACACUGGAACUGAGACACGGCCCAGACUCCUACGGGAGGCAGCAGUAGGGAAUAUUGCGCAAUGGACGCAAGCCUGAUGGAGCCAUGCCGCGUGUAUGAAGAAGGCUUUCGGAUUGUAAAGUACUGUCAGCAGGGAGGCGUUACCCGCCUAGAAAGCACCGGCUAACUCCGUGCCAGCAGCCGCGGUAAUAC